UUCAAUAUUUAGGGCGGGGCAUAUUUCAUAAUCAUAACGCCUCAUAUUCAUAAGUGACAUGUGGCCGCGGCCGCGGGCUCCAGACGCCGGUGGGCGGUGUUGACGCCCGCUAGAUGGCGACCGACGUUCGCCCCGCGAAGCCUCCCACAUUCGCUAAUUGAAGCUACACUUUAUGGACGCGGGUCAGCAGCUGCGCGGUAAUUAAGAGGUGGCUGGAAGUGGCAUGCGCCGGCGCACAAUGCGGUUCAAUUGAAUGAGAAUAAUCUUUGCACCCACGCUUCCUUUGUGCGUGGGUGGACCGCUGACCAUUCGGUGAACGAGCGAUCGGUCACCUAUCUGAUUUUUGGGACAAAUGGCAAAACAAUAAUUCGUACCCUUGCGACUGAGCUAAUAACAAUAAAAUAGAAAAGCGAUCACGAACACGGGGUGGCGACUGGUUCAAUCAACGAGAGUCAGAUUUAUUUUUAUGAAAAUUGGCAUAAAAUCGGACGGGUCAGGGAGGCGCAGUGGCCCCGCGAGACCUCACGCCCGAUCGUUUACUGCAUAUCGUUUCCUCCGAGCUAUCUGCCUCUUGGAAAUAUUGCCAGUGGUCAUAACUUUUUAUAUGCAGCGAUGACAUUGCAGAAAAUUGCGGUUGGAUUUUGUUGAGUCGUUACUCUUCAGAUUCAAUCAGUACGUGUGAGUAACUUGCUUGUAUUUGCAAAUAGUAUUCGAGUCAUGUUUUAUUUUAACUAGUUGUAUAAUUUUAUGAUGCAUUUUAUGCACUAGCGCAGAUCUCAUCUUAUAGAGUGUUAGACAAUAAUUAGUAUGUUAUUAAAAAGUCUAAAUAUUUUUAAGUGGUUGGUUUGAU